rnacentral:tRNA from 1 species
GUGAGGGUAGCUUAAUGGUAAAGCGUCUGGUUGUGGCCCAGGAGAUCGCGGUUCGACUCCGCGCCUGCACUCCA